AAACCAUGAUUAGAAGAUUUGUGAAGCAAUCCUUUAUACCGAUCUCAGAAUUCAUACAUUGAUUCAUCAUCAUCUUGAAGAAAAAAGCAAUAUGGUUCCUAAGUUU